rnacentral:lncRNA from 1 species
UUUUUCUUUUUCAGUUUCUGCCACAACAGAGGGUUCAGUUUCUAUCACAACGGAAGAAGGUUCAGGUGUUACCUCAAGAUUUUUUUUAUUUUUUUUCUGGGGCUGGUUCUAUUACCUUUCCAGAUCUCAAGGAAAUUGCACUCACAUUAGCAUUAGGGCCUUUUGGAUUCAUAAUUUUUUGGGUAGGAAGUUGGUUUGAUCCAUGGGUUUGCUGCAUGGCAUUCAUUGAAGUGGCAAGCUGUCCAAUCUGUGUCUGCAAAGUCUGAAUACUGGAAUCUGUUCGUUGCUGAAAUUGGAGAUUGUUCACAGCCAUUUGCUUGACAAGAUCCUCUAAUGAAGGUCUGGGAGGUGCAGAGGUGGAGACUUGGGGAGUGGUCU